rnacentral:rRNA from 1 species
UGGGGAAUUUUCCGCAAUGGGCGAAAGUCUGACGGAGCAAUGCCGCGUGGAGGUGGAAGGCCUACGGGUCGUCAACUUCUUUUCUCGGAGAAGAAACAAUGACGGUAUCUGAGGAAUAAGCAUCGGCUAACUCUGUGCCAGCAG